GAAGCAGACAUGGACAGAUGAAGAUACUGCCUGCAGGAAAUUCUUAUUCUUGGGGGUUCCCCCAAGCCAGAUCGAGCCGCUUAGUAGGCCCCGUAUGCGAGGCUGGGGGUGCUCGAUUCUGACUCGGUGCUUACACUUUCAUCAUCAUCAUCACCAACCACAUCAACCUCUCCAUCUUCGUCUUGUCAAUAUUACAGGAUAUUUUAUGGUUAGAUGUUGACCAGAUGGAUUGAAUGUGUUUAAAAUAUAAACAGGCCUUCGUACUCUCA